AUUAAAAUGAGGAAAAUGGUCCCAGUAAUAACUUAUUUUCUUUCAUUCACAGGUUCGAAGGCUCUUAAAAUUGAUCAUAGUCCUUUAAUAAUUUAUAAACCCAUGAAGUUGACAUGUAACUCAUCAGAAGUUGAUGUAGGAGAGGUUUCUGAUGCUGUCUGGAAAUUUAAUGAAUCUAUUAUUUCAUCAUUAAGGUAUAAAAUUACGACCACCGAACAGCAAUCAGUUUUUGAAGUUGAUCAAGUUAUUCCUAAUGAUGCUGGUAAGGAUUAUUUGUACACAGAUGUAUGUAGAUAAAAAGUAGAUUGUUUAUAAUGCAAGUAAUCUAUGUUUUUAUAUCACAGGGAAAUACAAUUGUACUCUGAAUGGAAGCAACUAUAUUUUUAGCCAAAGUGUCACAAUAUCAGCUGGUAGUAUAAAUCAAGCUCCUGUAGUGGAAGUGGACGGGCAAAGAAACGUGCUUUGCCAGGUGGAUAGAAGAGAAAAAUUUCAGUGCUGUGUUCAGUCUGGCUACACACUUAGCUUGUCUGAAGCAGACAAUCUAAAACAAGAUCCUCCUAUAGACAACUGCAUCCAGUACACAUAUACAAUACAAAGCUGCAGCUCAACGCCAAUAAAAAUCACAUGUAAAGUUAAUGAGAUCUCUGGUUAUGACAAGACAACAACACUAACGCUUUUCAUAGGAACUGUUGCAUGUGAAGAUAAGCUAUAUGGACAAGGACAAGAAGGCAACACGGCAGAAGUUAAGUGUCCAGCAGGUCAGGAAGGAUACAAAAAGGCAGAAUGCAAAGGAAACACAUGGAAAACAAUAGAGGACACAUGCAUUCUUACCCAGAUCAAACUAUUAUCUAUCGAG